CCCGCAAUGCUUGUACCAUGUGGACGCGCUGACAGUUUGGUUGUCAUUACUUAGAAUUCCUCAAGGGGGAGACAGAAACUGCGCACUAUGGCUUUAACUACUUAAAAU